GGAGCACUUGAAAGCCACGCAGCUGUGAAGGGUGAGGAACACUGCUUAGCUGGGGAAGUGCUGGCCCGCAGCCUGUUCUUAAUCUGCUACGUUACCUUUGUCAUAAAACAAGACUCCACACAUGAUGGAACCUUGGACCAGUACACACCAGGAAAGGAAGAGACACCACCUGCACCCACUGGAAGAAGAGAUGGGAAGACGACAAUAUAAGAACAUAUCCAACAACAGAAAAACCAAUAUGAUGCCACCAGAUUCUAGGGACUUUUUCUUUUUGAGACUCCUUCGUACUCUUGGAAUUAUUUUUAUUUAGUUUCUUACAUUUCCUCAAACUCUAACUUUUUUUAUAAUUCUUAAUAAAGCUUAAUUCAGC
rnacentral:lncRNA from 1 species